rnacentral:rRNA from 1 species
UACGUAGGGUGCAAGCGUUAAUCGGAAUUACUGGGCGUAAAGCGUGCGCAGGCGGUCUUGCAAGACAGGUGUGAAAUCCCCGGGCUUAACCUAGGAACUGCACUUGUGACUGCAAGGCUGGAGUACGGGAGAGGGGGAUGGAAUUCCGCGUGUAGCAGUGAAAUGCGUUGAUAUGCGGAGGAACAACGAUGGCGAAGGCAAUCCCCUGGGCCUGUACUGACGCUCAUGUCCGAAAGCGGGGGGAGCAAACAGG